rnacentral:rRNA from 1 species
GAUGAACGCUGGCGGCGUGCCUAAUACAUGCAAGUCGAGCGGAGCGGGGACGGGUGAGUAACACGUGGAUAACCUCCUAUAGAGCGGGGUUAACUUUGGGAAACCGGGGUUAAACCGGAUACUUAUAGAUGGAUCCGAGCUGGAUUAGCUAGUGGGUAAGGUAAUGGCUUACCAAGGCAACGAUGCAUAGCCGGCCUGAGAGGGUGACCGGCCACACUGGAACUGAGACACGGUCCAGACUCCGACGGGAGGCAGCAGUAGGGAAUAUUCCGCAAUGGGCGAAAGCCUGACGCAGCCACGCCGCGUGUGUGAUGAAGGCCUUCGGGUCGUAAAACUCUGUUAUCGGGGAAGCGUUACCUGAAGAGAAAGCCCCGGCUAACUCCGUGCCAGCAGCCGCGGUAAUAC